rnacentral:rRNA from 1 species
GACGGAAGGUGCAAGCGUUGCUCGGAAUCACUGGGCGUAAAGGGUGCGUAGGCGGCCUGGUAAGUCUGGCGUGAAAGCCCAGGGCUCAGCCCUGGAAGGGCGCUAGAAACUGCGAGGCUCGAGUGCCGGAGGGGAGAGUGGAAUUCCUGGUGUAGCGGUGAAAUGCGUAGAUAUCAAGAGGAACACCUGAGGUGAAGACGGGUUGCUGGGCCGACACUGACGCUGAGUGCGCGAAAGCCAGGGGAGCAAACGGG